GUUCCAACCUUCUGGCGAUCUCUUGGCAAUAAAGCGCCCUUAUUUUUAAUGGGUGCUUUAAGGAAAAGAGCUCUAAAAAGCUUUUGUGUUAAGAGUAUGCCGGGGAAGGUUUUCCGGUUUAUCCCGGAGGGCUUGUAGCUCAGUUGGUUAGAGCGCGCGCUUGAUAAGCGUGAGGUCGGAGGUUCAAGUCCUCCCAGGCCCACCAAUCACUCUAUCAAUUUAAUGAAGCGCUAGCGAGCUUGCUUAUAGGAUGCUUUCCUAUCAAAUCUGCAAACUGCUAAAAUAAAGUCUACAAACCGAUAAAGCCUAUAAAUUUGUAAGAAGCUUACAUAUUUUGUUUGGUAAUGCCUUAAACGCAUUUAAAAACACCGAUCAUUUGUCAUAGGACUUCAAAGUGAUGUCAUCACUUGAAUUUUAAGAGUGAACUUAAAUUUUAAGGGUGAAAUUGUCAUUUAAAAUGAAGUUUUAUUGAUGAUGAAGUUCUAUUGAUUAAGUUGGUAGAUAAGAUUAAGUCCGUAGAUAAAAUAUGGUUUGUUUAUCAGGGUGUUUGAAAAGGACAUUUAUCAUUUGCGAAGGGCAUUUGUAAAAGGGAAGAGCUUUACUGUUUGCUUUAGGCAAAUCCAAAGUUCUUUAUAGGCAAAGGAAUCUCCUUACUAGGUCUUUUAUGGAAAUGUUGUUAAAUUUGAGAGUUUGGAAUAGCGUUAUGCUAUUUUAGGGGCCGUAGCUCAGCUGGGAGAGCACCUGCUUUGAAGAGGGGGG
rnacentral:misc_RNA from 1 species